GAGUUCAUGCCCUCGCGGGUAGAUCUCCCACCCUUGAAUACAUUACCUUUGUUGCUUUGGCGGGCCGCCUCGGCUGCUGGCUCCGGCUAGUGAGUGCCCGUCAGAGGACCUAAACCCUGAAUUAUAGUGUCGUCUGAGUACUAUAUAAUAGUUAAAACUUUCAACAACGGAUCUCUUGGUUCU
rnacentral:misc_RNA from 1 species